rnacentral:sRNA from 1 species
UAUCUCUCCGUACGGGGAAGGAUGAGAAGCUUCGAAUAAGGUUCGAUUCGAGCGAAAGUGAGAAAGCGUUGCCGCAGGCAACGACCCGAAGGGCGAAGCGCGCAGCGCUGAGUAAUCCUUCCCCCACCACCA